UACGUAGGGUGCAAGCGUUAAUCGGAAUUACUGGGCGUAAAGCGCGCGCAGGCGGUCCUUUAAGUCUGAUGUGAAAGCCCACGGCUCAACCGUGGAGGGUCAUUGGAAACUGGGGGACUUGAGUACAGAAGAGAAGAGUGGAAUUCCACGUGUAGCGGUGAAAUGCGUAGAGAUGUGGAGGAACACCAGUGGCGAAGGCGGCGAUCUGGGAAGAUACUGACGCUGAGGUGCGAAAGCGUGGGGAGCAAACAGG
rnacentral:rRNA from 1 species